GUAACUAGCCCAAAAUUUUAUUUUAACGUUAAUUCGAGUUCAAGUUUCAUGAGAAUUCAUUUUAAAAAUUCUCUGCGCUCUGGUUCUUUAACAGGACCGUUAGCAAAUACCUACUUUUAUCGGUCAUCCUACUUCUUACCCAACUGAGCCAUCGGUGUUACGUAAUUAAAAAACAAAGAUAGAACUUUGGAAUUCAAGUUCAACAAAUAUUUACCAAGACGCCAUAGUGACUUACCGAAUGGCAGGUGGUGCAAUCGAAGUAAUAUUACGAACAGGAAACAUCUUUCCUAUUUUUCCAAAUGUUUUUAACGAUACGAACUUGCAACUGAACAGAGAAUCAAAAAUUUCAGAAUUUUGGAACUGAGACACAAGUUUUGAUUAUGUGUAUGUGCUAAGGUCUAUCUCUAAUAAAUAAUAAGUAUAUGAAUAUCAUAUAGCAACAUACUACGCAUUAUCUACCAAAACAAAAUUAGUUCGGCGCCAAGCAAGUGGUAGUAAAGUCAAUCAGUUUUUGCCGGUUGCGUGCUAGGUUGCGUGUUACUUCUUCAUACAUUGUGAUAUAUUGCAAUGGUGCGGAAAUCACGCCUUGCUCAAAAAGAAGUACUAAAUGGAAGAUAAAAACUUGCCUGCUGUAUUACACUCUUUGACCAAGCGUCAAAUAUUUCUCGACUACUUUGUGAUAAGGUCGUAUGUCUAAACAAAAACAAAACUAGUGAGAGAUGAUUUACACACUUAUAGCGGAUUUCUUUAUUCCACUGUGUGCGGGCAAAAUUGACGAGGAAUAAUGAAACGUCAUCGCCAUUUAAGACGCAAGUAAGAGAGAGAUGCCAGAUAAUUGUUUACGAAAUAAGCACGUGCGGUGGUGGGUUGAAGCUUACAAACUUUACAGUGCGCCUCGGGCAGCACGGCAGGUCAAAACUGGGUCGAAAUCGAGCGAAUAAAGAAGGGUUUUGACAGCAGUUAGUGCACUUCCAGGUCAAAACGAGGUGAGCUGGUGUAAUAAAGAAAUUCGCUAUAAGAUUUUAUUGCCGAGUACUCAACAGCUGAUAAAUUCAGCGAAAUGCUCUACAACUUUUCGGCACAAUUUUCAAGAACUUCGGCAAACAAAAUGUCAAUACAUUCUGGUUCGCGGUAGAUCGAUAUAUUUGCUGAAUGUUCGUCGAAAUAUAUUGCUGACAUUUGUUAAAAACUUCGCCGAGCUCGUUCAGCUGUUGGGAAGUUUGCCAAGAUAAAUUAAGUGUGUACGUUUGCGGAGUACAAGGGAUAUAACUCUCACUCGUUUUAUUUACGUUUAGACAUACGACCUUAUCACAAAGUAGUCGAGAUUUGUCACUUUUUAACAGAUAAAUGUUUGGUCAAUGAUAAUUGUUUGUCACUCUCCAAUUUUUUUAAGGGGCAAACACGGGCAAAAAACAAUCAUGGUGUCAAAUAAAUUUGACCAUUGGUCAAAGAUCGAAGAUACGAAAACGUCAAACCUGAUAGAAAAACGUCAAUGUCGGUCGGAUUGUUUUCAUUAUUUUGCUAUUUUGGUUGGGGCAGCCCCUGCACUUUUUAAGUAGACACAGUGGAUCUGGUUAUUAUCCAAUAAAAUGAUGUAAUCUAAGUAAAAAAAUCUCUUUAAAAUUUAUAUAUGAGCUUUCCGUUCGAAAAUAAAAGGAACGACGAGAGUUUUGUAUCAAUAGCAAACCCAGGAAGAAAACAGAAAAAAAGCGAAAACAUUAGAUUUGACGUUUCUAUGUUGUACUCGAUGUUAUAACUCAUAGCACAUUCCCUCGUGUAAUACAGGCUUUAUAUAAUACCCCGUUCACACUACACUGCAUAUCACCGGAUAUCAGGCGAUUCGUGCUAUCGAAGCCAUAUCACCAUCCAUAUUACCUGAUAGCCCAUACAAUCGAGCUGUCAACGGAUAUCACCUCGGCUACAUGCUAUCGCGGAUAUCAUGUUCGAAAACCAACAAUAAUCACAUUUCCAGCAGUUGGCAACACGGCCAACAGACAUUUGACGCAACCCUACAAAUUUCGAACUUCGCGUUGCAUGCGAGAAAAAAGGAAGGAAAUAUUUUUGCUAUUUUCAUCUCGCACAUUUCGACAAUUGCAUACGAGAGUUCGCGUUGGUGCGAGUCAACUCGCUGACAUAUCUAUCCUAAUCCCAUUGUUCUUGUUGUCUUGUUUUAGCUUUGACCUAAUUUUGUUUUCUUCUCUUUUCAAUUACCAAAGCAAAUGUCAAAUCAUAUCAGCUCACUCUAUCCGAACGCUCGAGGUGAUAUCCGAUAUCAUCUGGCGAUAUCAGGCGAUAUCCGGCGUAGUCUGAAUAAGGCAUAAAGCAAAUACCGAACUACUUGAAAACAUUUUCGUUUACCAUUGUUCCGUAAUAAAAUUACAGAGAAAUCGGAAACCGAAUGUGUUUACCGGAAUACCGUAAAAUUGUUUGCCGAAAAGAUCCGUAAAACAGCAAAUUUCCGAGUUCAGUAAACUGAAAUACCGUACCUCGGAAGCUUGACAUCAUUUAACCGAGAUCUCGUUGAAUCAAAAAAGCUCUUACCGAGAUUCCGAAAAAUGGAACUGUCAAAAUAACGAAAGCAUCACUAUCAGUUUUGUUCGUGUUUCGGUUUAGAUGUAAAAGGAACAGGUUUCGCGGUCAAUUAUCAUUCCGAAGAAAUCUGUAAUAUUCAGAUUAACCUAAAAUGUUGAGUUUGACGGUGGUCGUAGAAGGUCUGGCGAUGUUCGCAGCGGCCUGUUAUACAUCGCUUCUGCCGGAGACUUACCGCCAGGGACGUUUCGAUUUGGUGUGGUGCGGUAGGUAAGAAUAGUCAGCCUAUACACCAGAGAAACGCCGAAACA